UUGAAUAGGAUUGAGCUUCUACAAAUUCGGAUGUUUAUGGUGUUGAUGUUAUUCCUUGAUUUACAGACCAACAGCGAAAAAGCGAAUUUGAAGCACCCAUCAGAUAUAAAUGCCCUAAUUAGAGUUUACAAACAAGCUAUCUUUAGUGGAGAAGAAACCACCGUUUCUGAAAUCGAAACGAUCUUUUGCGGAAUCGAAAAGGAAAGAACAGAUUCGACAAUAAGGUUUUAUCAUUAUUAAUGAAGAUAGCUUCGGAGAAAGAUACGAAGAUCCUAUUGCAGGCUGAUUUCGAUAACACAAGGAAAAAGGUUGGCAAGGAUUGGCUUGGUACAGAGUCCAAUGCAAAGUUGCAGAUCAUGAAGAGCUAGGUGACGGGAAGUAGUUGGGAGGUGAAAAGCAUUGACGUUGCAGUGGCUGGUCUUGGCUGGUUUUCGCUUGGUCUCAAAGGCGAAG